rnacentral:rRNA from 1 species
GAUCCUGGCUCAGGAUGAACGCUGGCGGCGUGCCUAACACAUGCAAGUCGAGCGAAGCGCCUGGAAGUUUUCGGACAGAAGGGUGACUGAGCGGCGGACGGGUGAGUAACGCGUGGGUAAUCUGCCUCAUACAGGGGAAUAACAGCUAGAAAUGGCUGCUAAUGCCGCAUAAGCGCACAGGACCGCAUGGUCUGGUGUGAAAAACUCCGGUGGUAUGAGAUGAACCCGCGUCUGAUUAGUUAGUUGGCAGGGUAACGGCCUACCAAGACGACGAUCAGUAGCCGGCCUGAGAGGGUGGACGGCCACAUUGGGACUGAGACACGGCCCAGACUCCUACGGGAGGCAGCAGUGGGGAAUAUUGCACAAUGGGGGAAACCCUGAUGCAGCAACGCCGCGUGAGUGAAGAAGUAUUUCGGUAUGUAAAGCUCUAUCAGCAGGGAAGAAAAUGACGGUACCUGAGUAAGAAGCCCCGGCUAACUACGUGCCAGCAGCCGCGGUAAUACGUAC